ACACCAUCACACAACAACAAACUUUAGUUAUUUCAACCCUCUUUUAUUGAGGGUUUACUAAAAUCUGUCGAUACAAUCUAUAAAUACAAAUGCGGGAGGCUAUGUUACUAAACUUUAUUUCAAAGGUUAUUUGGUCCCUCAAAAUAAGUUAAAACAACCUUGAAAUAAUUGAAAGAAAAAAAAAGCGCCAGUUUUGUACCAAAACUUUUACCUUUUUCAGCUCACAACCCUUGAUAAAAUAUGAUAAAUUUUUCAGCCCUUGAAAGAAGCCCACAACAAAAUUUAAAAAUAUAGCCCAGAACGUACUUCAAAGCAUUAUGCCACUAUGUCAUGCCUUGUACAGCUAUCACUCUAUUGGCAGUUGACUAGAUUCUAUCAUUUCUUCUUUUGCAGCUUGCUUGGACCUGCUACAACUUCUAUCAUCAGUCAACACCAACAAAAUUGGCCACGGAGAAUUAUUUCUUUCAUUCUGGGCAGGUGAGUUAUCCCUAUUCUUGUGAUAUACAAUGUUCUUGUCUGUGUGUGUGUGUCUUACACUACAUCCAUAAAUACCUGUUUUAGGACAUGACUGUGGGCUUCUACAUAAGUAAAUGAACGCAAUUUAGUAGUGCUUAAAGCUUACUUAGGUUUAUAGUGAAAUAAUAGCAUUUUAAUAAUUCCAAAGUGGAGUUACCCUAAAACUUUGGACUCAGAGGACCUUAAUUCAUAAUUUACUAUUUUAAACAUUGUGUUUGGGAUGAUGGGUUUAUUGAAAUGCUAUCAGUUUUUCUUUUGAUGGUAAUUUGGAAUGGACACGGGUUUGGGUUUUUGUUUAGAUAACAGAAUGGUUGAGGCAGAUUUAGUUUUAUUUCUUGUUUUUUUUUUUUUUUCCCAGUGCUUUGGUUCAUAUUUUAUUCUUCUGAGUUUUCUGAGGGAAAUAUUGCCAACGAAGAGAUCCUGCCUCCUUUAAUCCAUGCUAAUAGCUGUCCAAUUCUUUGUACUCAUAAACAGAGCAUUUUGACACCACAUGUGAAAACAGACUUGUAGCAUCUAAUUAUAAAUAGGUUACAAAUUCUAAAGCCUACCAGAAUUAACUCUUCUUUUCUAGGCUUGGGGUGAGGGGAAAGAUUGGGAUAUAUUUGCGUCUACUUGUAAUGCUUCUUGUGUUAGUCAUGCUGGAUACAUCUAUUGACAUAAGGUAAACGUGUGAAUCAAUUUGCAAACCUUGAAUCAACAGAAAAUGGCUGUGCUAGAUGGUUAGGAUGAGUUAGCAUGUUUAUGCUGAGUGAGCAUCAGGGGUCUUAGCAAAUCCAACGAAACUGGAAAUUCAGCACCAACUUCAAUAAAGCAAAUAGUCAAAUGCUACUUGGUAACUGUUUAAGAUGAGGUCUUUCUAAAGGCAUUAAUGGAAAACUUCUUAGUGCUAAUCCAAACAACAUAAAAGUUUUGAAAGGAACUCUAAGGACCCAUUUUUAAUGAAACUUGAUUUAUUUUUCUUUUUUCUUUUUUUUUUGGGGGGGGGGGGUCACUAUUGAGAGUCCCUACUAGGAUUGAGGUUAGAAAGAUGGGAGAGAAUGCCUUCAUCAUAUAGCUCAUAGACCCGUUGGGCUGCUACUGGUAUCAAAAGUAAAUAUAGCAUGUGUAAUUCAAAGCACACGUCAUGCCUUGUACAGCUAUCACUCUUUUGGCAGUUGCAUAGAUUCUAUUAUUUCUUCUUUUGCAGCUUGCUUGGAACUGCUACAACUUCAUCAGUCAACACCAACAAAAUUGGCCAGGGAGAAUUAUUUCUUUCAUUCUGGGCAGGCUUUUCCACUGGAUUUAGUACUCUUUUCCAGUUGAGGACAACUUAAGUGCUCACAUAUAUUGGAUUGAUCAAAGCAAAGGAUUCUACUAAUGGCAAACGGAGGUAGCAAAGGAGGAGUUGGCACAAGUGAUGCUAAUGGAAGUAAAAAUGAUUUGGCUCAUCAAGGGAAGAAGAGAGGGCGAGGGCCUACUCGGAAUCUUAAAUUGGCCAAAGAGUUCAAGGGAGGGGAAAGAUAUGAGAUUGGUUGGUUGAAUGGAAGACCUGUAAGGCCUCAUGCUCGUGAUUUAAUAAAUGAAUGUACAAAACUUGUUAGGACACAACAAAAUGUACCUCUAAAGUUCACAGAUUGGAAAAAAGUACCGUAUAUCAACAAAAGGAAGCUCUUUGAUAAAGUAUUGGAGUAUUUCAAAGUUGAGGGUCGAGAGUAAGAGGUUUGGCGAAAAUUGGGUAGUUCUUACUCAAAUUAUCGUGACUCCCUAAAAAAAAGUAGUUUAAGACAUAUGGUGAAGCAACAGAAGAGGCACGAGCAAAUGUUCCACCUGGACUGGAGAAGGAUGAUUGGAAUUGUCUCGUGGAUUUGUGGAGCAAGCAAGAUUAUAUGGACGUGUUUGAAAAACAAGGAUUGGGACAAAAACAAUAUUAUCCACACUUCUAGUUCAAAAAGUUUCCAACAAUGUAGUGCGGAAGAGAAAGAGAAGACAGGUCAUAGUCCUUGUAGAAUUGAAUUAUUUGACAUCAGCAAUGUGCAAGCUAAUGGGCAAGCAGUAAAUGAACCAACACAAGAUGCAUUGGUGGCAUUGAGGAAUCUUACUACUCAAGUGAAUGAGGGGGCAUUGCAAAUAUCUCAAAAUCAAAUGUUUGUGGAGGUGUUUGGACAUGAGCGUCAUGGACGAGUUCGUGGCUAUGGGGUUGGAGUCACUCCUACCAAGUUAUGGGGUUCUUCCUCAUCUAGAAUGUAUGAUCUUGAGAAGCGACACCAAGAAUCUGAACAAAAACACUUAGAAUCUGAACACAAACGAAUAGAGGCUGAUGCAGAGUUGAAAGAAGAAGUAAAGCACCUCAAAAGCAUGCUCGAACAACAAGCUAUUCAAAUGGCAGAACAAAGAAGACAUUUUGAGGAACAACAAGCUAGUCAAAUGGCAGAACAAAGAGCACAUUAUGACAAUAUGAUGAUGCAAAUGUUGAGUUAUAUCACCUCGCAAUCAGCCCAAUCUAGUAGUGAUCACUAAGCUUAUGUUGCAAUAAAGGGUUGACUUGAUACUAGUUUUUGUUGCCAAAUUGAGUGCCUGAAUUAUUGCACGCUAGUGCCUUCUGUUCCAGGCAAAGACAAGGAAGUUUUGCUCCUGCAUACAAAAGUUGACCUUGUAGUAACUCUUGGUGGGGAUGGAAUGGUCCUUUGGAAACUUGAGGGCACCCAUAAUGGCUGAAAUGUUUAAUUGUACUAGCUGAUAACUUCUUGCUUGGAAGAUGAUGAUGAAGAAUAAAAUGUAUCAAAACUUUUAACUCUUGGACAGAUUUGGUCUUUGCACAAAGUGUGGUUGUUGAUAUCUUUUCUCUUAAACAAUAAUUGACAUAUCGGCAGUUUGUAUGCGGCCCCUAAUCUGUUAAUUUGUAAGUUUGAGUUUAGAGAUCAAAGAAACUGUAAUUGUAGCAAUAUACCAUUUUUGCUAGACAUCAAUAUUAUAUCAUAUCAUCUCAACAAUUGUCAAUUUUUGUGUGUGUAUAUAUAUAUAU